rnacentral:snRNA from 1 species
GGAUGUGAGGUUGAUGUGGCUGUGACAUUGUCACUUCAUUGUCAUGGCUGAUUAGGUUGAUCUGGCUGGCUAGGUGUGUGUACCCUUCCUACCUCACUGCUACUGUGUGUCCCUCGCAAAGCUGUGCACUCAAAGAGAAUGAAUGACCUUCCCCAGUAGAAGAGGAUCAUACUUUGGUCAAGGGUAUAAAGGUAGCUAUACUUCCCAGCUAGGAACUCCAGGCAAGCUCUCAAAGGUAGAGAUGGGGGGGGGGAGAGGUCCUUGCAGCUAGAUAGAAGAGAGUAGGGAAGGAAAGGCCUGGAAGGAA